UCGCCUGUUUUAACAAAAACAUCGCCCCCCGACCACAUUAGAUGGGGGGUACUGCCUGCCCAGUGAAUUUAUUUUAAACGGCCGCGGUACCUUAACCGUGCAAAGGUAGCAUAAUCACUAGCCCUCUAAAUAAGGGCCUGUAUGAAUGGCACCACGAGGGCCAAACUGUCUCCUCUUUAUCCUAUGAAACUUCUUUGGCCGUGCAAAAGCGUCCAUACAAGCGCCAGACGAGAAGACCCUAUCGAGCUUCAGGGGUAAAAGACCGACUAAAAAUUAUAAUCAGCUGAAUAACGCCACGGCUUUAAUUCUAACCACACACCACUAAUUUCUUCUCCAACUCUUUUUUAUCCCUUUGGUUGGGGCAACCACGGAGAAAACCCAUCCUCCAAAUCAAAUUAUUCUAAAAGACAUUACGUCCUAAACACAACCCUCAUGAUAUAUGAUCCGAUCUACACGAACAAUAAACAAAGUUACCGUAGGGAUAACAGCGUAAUUCCUCCUAAGAGCCCACAUUGCCGGAGGAGUUUGCGACCUCGAUGUUGGAUCAGGGUACCCCGAUGGCGCAACCGCUAUCUAAGGUUGGUCUGUUCGACCAUUAAAACCCCACGUGAUCUGAGUUCCAGACCGGA
rnacentral:rRNA from 1 species